rnacentral:rRNA from 1 species
AUUGAACGCUGGCGGCAUGCCUUACACAUGCAAGUCGAACGGCAGCACGGGUGCUUGCACCUGGUGGCGAGUGGCGAACGGGUGAGUAAUACAUCGGAACAUGUCCUGUAGUGGGGGAUAGCCCGGCGAAAGCCGGAUUAAUACCGCAUACGAUCUACGGAUGAAAGCGGGGGACCUUCGGGCCUCGCGCUAUAGGGUUGGCCGAUAGCUGAUUAGCUAGUUGGUGGGGUAAAGGCCUACCAAGGCGACGAUCAGUAGCUGGUCUGAGAGGACGACCAGCCACACUGGAACUGAGACACGGCCCAGACUCCUACGGGAGGCAGCAGUGGGGAAUUUUGGACAAUGGGCGAAAGCCUGAUCCAGCAAUGCCGCGUGCGUGAAGAAGGCCUUCGGGUUGUAAAGCACUUUUGUCCGGAAAGAAAACCUUGGCUCUAAUACAGUCGGGGGAUGACGGUACCGGAAGAAUAAGCACCGGCUAACUACGUG